AGAGUUUGAUCCUGGCUCAGGACGAACGCUGGCGGCGUGCUUAACACAUGCAAGUCGAGCGGAAAGGCCCUUCCGGGGGUACUCGAGCGGCGAACGGGUGAGUAACACGUGAGCAACCUGCCCUGGACUUUGGGAUAACCCUCGGAAACGGGGGCUAAUACCGGAUAUUACUGCUGGCCGCAUGGUUGGUGGUGGAAAGUUUUUUCGGUCUGGGAUGGGCUCGCGGCCUAUCAGCUUGUUGGUGGGGUGAUGGCCUACCAAGGCGACGACGGGUAGCCGGCCUGAGAGGGCGACCGGCCACACUGGGACUGAGACACGGCCCAGACUCCUACGGGAGGCAGCAGUGGGGAACAUUGCACAAUGGGCGGAAGCCUGAUGCAGCGACGCCGCGUGAGGGAUGACGGCCUUCGGGUUGUAAACCUCUUUCAGCAGGGACGAAGCGCAAGUGACGGUACCUGCAGAAGAAGCGCCGGCCAACUACGUGCCAGCAGCCGCGGUAAGACGUAGGGCGCGAGCGUUGUCCGGAUUUAUUGGGCGUAAAGAGCUCGUAGGCGGCUUGUCGCGUCGACUGUGAAAACCCGCGGCUCAACCGCGGGCCUGCAGCCGAUACGGGCAGGCUAGAGUUCGGUAGGGGAGACUGGAAUUCCUGGUGUAGCGGUGAAAUGCGCAGAUAUCAGGAGGAACACCGGUGGCGAAGGCGGGUCUCUGGGCCGAUACUGACGCUGAGGAGCGAAAGCGUGGGGAGCGAACAGGAUUAGAUACCCUAGUAGUCC
rnacentral:rRNA from 1 species